UCACCUCCACAGGCUGGCCAGCCCCCAGGCUGGGCUGGGGCAAGUAUCUCUUUGAAAGGCUCAUCCUCAAGCAUAACUAGGAGC
rnacentral:pre_miRNA from 1 species